UACGGAGGGUGCGAGCGUUAAUCGGAAUUACUGGGCGUAAAGCGCGCGUAUGUGGUUUGAUAAGUCGGAUGUGAAAGCCCCGAGCUUAACUUGGGAACGGCAUUCGAUACUGUCUGACUAGAGUAUGGUAGAGGAAAGCGGAAUUCCCGGUGUAGCGGUGAAAUGCGUAGAUAUAGGAAGGAACACCAGUGGCGAAGGCGACCACCUGGACUGAUACUGACACUGAGGUGCGAAAGCGUGGGGAGCAAACAGG
rnacentral:rRNA from 1 species